UUAAACCCUUUACACUGAAGAGCUCUAAAGUGGUUUAGAUUUUUACAAAAGUAUCUUUAAAAUAGUCCUGAAAAAGUUUUUUUUUUUUUUGCUGAGUUUUU